rnacentral:rRNA from 1 species
GAUGAACGCUAGCGAAGGCUUAACACAUGCAAGUCGAGGGACCGGCGGAUGGGUGCGUAACGCGUAUGCAACUUGCCUCACAGUGGAGAAUAACCCGGAGAAAUCCGGACUAAUGCCCCAUACUGUGAGAUAGGCAUGCGUCUUGUUAGGUGGUUGGUUAGGGAACGGCUCACCAAGCCGACGAUAGGUAGGGGUGGUGAGGGGCAGAUCCCCCAGGUUUGAACUGAGACACGGCCCAAACUCCUACGGGAGGCAGCAGGAAGGAAUAUUGGUCAAUGGAGGAAACUCUGAACCAGCCAAGUCGCGUGAAGGAAGAAUGUCUAAGGAUUGUAAACUUCUUUAGCGAGUGAGUAGGUAGCUGGAGAAGAAGUAUCGGCUAACUCCGUGCCAGCAGCCGCGGUAAUAC